GGGACACGUGGUAUCCUGUCUGAAUAUGGGGGGACCAUCCUCCAAGGCUAAAUACUCCUGACUGACCGAUAGUGAACCAGUACCGUGAGGGAAAGGCGAAAAGAACCCCGGCGAGGGGAGUGAAAAAGAACCUGAAACCGUGUACGUACAAGCAGUGGGAGCACGCUUAGGCGUGUGACUGCGUACCUUUUGUAUAAUGGGUCAGCGACUUAUAUUCUGUAGCAAGGUUAACCGAAUAGGGGAGCCGAAGGGAAACCGAGUCUUAACUGGGCGUUAAGUUGCAGGGUAUAGACCCGAAACCCGGUGAUCUAGCCAUGGGCAGGUUGAAGGUUGGGUAACACUAACUGGAGGACCGAACCGACUAAUGUUGAAAAAUUAGCGGAUGACUUGUGGCUGGGGGUGAAAGGCCAAUCAAACCGGGAGAUAGCUGGUUCUCCCCGAAAGCUAUUUAGGUAGCGCCUCGUGAAUUCAUCUCCGGGGGUAGAGCACUGUUUCGGCAAGGGGGUCAUCCCGACUUACCAACCCGAUGCAAACUGCGAAUACCGGAGAAUGUUAUCACGGGAGACACACGGCGGGUGCUAACGUCCGUCGUGAAGAGGGAAACAACCCAGACCGCCAGCUAAGGUCCCAAAGUCAUGGUUAAGUGGGAAACGAUGUGGGAAGGCCCAGACAGCCAGGAUGUUGGCUUAGAAGCAGCCAUCAUUUAAAGAAAGCGUAAUAGCUCACUGGUCGAGUCGGCCUGCGCGGAAGAUGUAACGGGGCUAAACCAUGCACCGAAGCUGCGGCAGCGACGCUUAUGCGUUGUUGGGUAGGGGAGCGUUCUGUAAGCCUGUGAAGGUGUGCUGUGAGGCAUGCUGGAGGUAUCAGAAGUGCGAAUGCUGACAUAAGUAACGAUAAAGCGGGUGAAAAGCCCGCUCGCCGGAAGACCAAGGGUUCCUGUCCAACGUUAAUCGGGGCAGGGUGAGUCGACCCCUAAGGCGAGGCCGAAAGGCGUAGUCGAUGGGAAACAGGUUAAUAUUCCUGUACUUGGUGUUACUGCGAAGGGGGGACGGAGAAGGCUAUGUUGGCCGGGCGACGGUUGUCCCGGUUUAAGCGUGUAGGCUGGUUUUCCAGGCAAAUCCGGAAAAUCAAGGCUGAGGCGUGAUGA
rnacentral:rRNA from 1 species